GAUGGAAGUGUUUGAACUGAAACUGACGGGACAAAGAUCAGAACACACCAAGAGAGAAAGAGCUGCAGGAGUCAUGAAGGUCCUCAGUGUUUUCAUCCUCUCAUGUCUUCUCUUCCAGACCGCCAGUCUGGAGAAACCACCAGCGUCUGAGCCACCCUAAAGAACGAGAGCAAAAAACCAGAAUCAAACUUGGACAAUAACCAAGAUUUAAACUCGGGGGAGACAAAAAAAAGUGAGGACUCGGAGAUUAAAAAAAAAGUUUUUACUCAAACAGAAGAAAACUGGUGGCCUUUUGGGGG